AGCGAACGCUGGCGGCAGGCCUAACACAUGCAAGUCGAACGGACCCUUCGGGGUUAGUGGCGGACGGGUGAGUAACACGUGGGAACGUGCCUUUAGGUUCGGAAUAGCUCCUGGAAACGGGUGGUAAUGCCGAAUGUGCCCUUCGGGGGAAAGAUUUAUCGCCUUUAGAGCGGCCCGCGUCUGAUUAGCUAGUUGGUGAGGUAAAGGCUCACCAAGGCUACGAUCAGUAGCUGGGCUGAGAGGAUGACCAGCCACAUUGGGACUGAGACACGGCCCAAACUCCUACGGGAGGCAGCAGUGGGGUAUCUUGCGCAAUGGGCGAAAGCCUGACGCAGCCAUGCCGCGUGAAUGAUGAAGGUCUUAGGAUUGUAAAAUUCUUUCACCGGGGACGAUAAUGACGGUACCCGGAGAAGAAGCCCCGGCUAACUUCGUGCCAGCCGCCGCGGUAAAAC
rnacentral:rRNA from 1 species